rfam:Triticum aestivum genome assembly, contig: Triticum_aestivum_CS42_TGACv1_scaffold_273738_3DS
GUCCCUUCGAGGUCAUUCGAUAAAAUUAGAAUGAUACAGAGAAAAUUAGCAUGGCCUCUGCGCAAGGACGACACGCACAAAUCAAAAAAUGCUCCAAUUUUUU